GAUGAACGCUAGCGGCAGGCUUAACACAUGCAAGUCGAGGGGUAUCCCGCUUCGGCGGGAGAGACCGGCGCACGGGUGCGUAACGCGUAUGCAAUCUGCCUUUCACAGACGGAUAGCCCAGAGAAAUUUGGAUUAAUACCUCAUAGCAUUAUGGAAUGGAAUCAUUCUGUAAUUAAAGUCACAACGGUGAAAGAUGAGCAUGCGUCCCAUUAGCUAGUUGGUAAGGUAACGGCUUACAAAGGCGACGAUGGGUAGGGGUCCUGAGAGGAAGAACACCCACACGGGUACUGACACACGGACCAGACUCCUACGGGAGGCAGCGGUGAGGAAUAUUGGUCAAUGGGCGCAAGCCUGAACCAGCCAUGCCGCGUGCAGGAUGACGGUCCUAUGGAUUGUAAACUGCUUUUGUACGAGAAGAAACACCCCGACGUGUCGGGACUUGACGGUAUCGUAAGAAUAAGGAUCGGCUAACUCCGUGCCAGCAGCCGCCGUAACAC
rnacentral:rRNA from 1 species